CAGUCGCCGCGGGAAUACGAACCGUGCGAACGUUAUUCGGAAUCACUGGGCUUAAAGCGCGUGUAGGCGGGCCACCACGUCGGCUGCUGAAAUCCCCCGGCUCAACCGGGGAAGUGGCACCGAUACGAGCGGCCUGGAGGGGGGUAGGGGGGACUGGAACUCCCGGUGGAGCGGUGAAAUGCGUUGAGAUCGGAAGGGACGCCCGUGGCGAAAGCGAGUCCCUGGACCCUUACUGACGCUGAGACGCGAAAGCCAGGGGAGCGAACGGGAUUAGAUACCCCGGUAGUCCCUGUCUCUUAUU
rnacentral:rRNA from 1 species